rnacentral:other from 1 species
GAGUCUGACAACGAAGCGUACAUCAGGAUGAUGUUGUUUCGAGGACUCACCAGGACGGUGCUGCAAGGAAAGGCUUCAGGACGAAGCAAAGGGACAUCGCUGGAAUGCGUUAACGGACACCUCCAGGAAGGAGAAUGAGAGCCGGUAAGGAUACCCGGCAGAUCAGGAAGAUCCAGGACACGCUUUACGGAUGAGGCCAAGUCACAUCGGGGUGGUGUGAGCAAGAUGCGCUGUUUAAGGAUGAACGGGUCAGGAGACCGCAGGAAAAGUUUUCAUGGAUGAGCAGGGAGCAUACGAGUAGCGGGACUGCUGCGAAACGAACCGGGAGCACUGUUUUUACAGUGCUCCCUUUUUUUAUU